AAACUUAAAGGAAUUGACGGGGCCCGCACAAGCGGUGGAGCAUGUGGUUUAAUUCGAUGCAACGCGAAGAACCUUACCUGGGCUUGACAUCCCGGGAAUCCCCUGGAACAGGGAGUGCCUUCGGGGAACCCGGUGACAGGUGCUGCAUGGCUGUCGUCAGCUCGUGUCGUGAGAUGUUGGGUUAAGUCCCGCAACGAGCGCAACCCUUGUCUUUAAUUGCCAUCAUUUAGUUGGGCACUUUAAAGAGACUGCCGGUGUUAAGCCGGAGGAAGGUGGGGAUGACGUCAAAUCAUCAUGCCCCUUAUGACCUGGGCUACACACGUGCUACAAUGGUUGGUACAACGAGUUGCGAGUCGGUGACGGCGAGCUAAUCUCUUAAAGCCAAUCUCAGUUCGGAUUGUAGGCUGCAACUCGCCUACAUGAAGUCGGAAUCGCUAGUAAUCGCGGAUCAGCACGCCCGCGGUCGAAUACGUUCCGGGCCUU
rnacentral:rRNA from 1 species